GUAGGGUGCGAGCGUUAAUCGGAAUUACUGGGCGUAAAGCGUGCGCAGGCGGUGAGUUAAGUCUGAUGUGAAAGCCCCGGGCUCAACCUGGGAACGGCAUUGGAAACUGGCUCGCUGGAGUGUGGCAGAGGGGGGUGGAAUUCCGCGUGUAGCAGUGAAAUGCGUAGAGAUGCGGAGGAACACCGAUGGCGAAGGCAGCCCCCUGGGCCAACACUGACGCUCAGGCACGAAAGCGUGGGGAGCAAACAGGAUUAGAUACCCUGGUAGUCCACGCCCUAAACGAUGGCCACUGGGUGUCGGGGAAGCGAUUCCUUGGUACCGCAGCUAACGCGUGAAGUGGCCCGCCUGGGGAGUACGGCCGCAAGGUUA
rnacentral:rRNA from 1 species